AGAGUUUGAUCAUGGCUCAGAGUGAACGCUGGCGGUAGGCCUAACACAUGCAAGUCGAACGGUAGCACAGAGGAGCUUGCUCCUUGGGUGACGAGUGGCGGACGGGUGAGGAAUGCAUCGGAAUCUACUCUUUCGUGGGGGAUAACGUAGGGAAACUUACGCUAAUACCGCAUACGACCUACGGGUGAAAGCAGGGGACCUUCUAGGCCUUGCGCGAUUGAAUGAGCCGAUGUCCGAUUAGCUAGUUGGCGGGGUAAUGGCCCACCAAGGCGACGAUCGGUAGCUGGUCUGAGAGGAUGAUCAGCCACACUGGAACUGAGACACGGUCCAGACUCCUACGGGAGGCAGCAGUGGGGAAUAUUGGACAAUGGGCGCAAGCCUGAUCCAGCCAUACCGCGUGGGUGAAGAAGGCCUUCGGGUUGUAAAGCCCUUUUGUUGGGAAAGAAAAGCAGCCGGCUAAUACCCGGUUGUUCUGACGGUACCCAAAGAAUAAGCGCCGGCUAACUUCGUGCCAGCAGCCGCGGUAAUACGAAGGGUGCAAGCGUUACUCGGAAUUACUGGGCGUAAAGCGUGCGUAGGUGGUUGUUUAAGUCUGUCGUGAAAGCCCUGGGCUCAACCUGGGAACUGCGAUGGAAACUGGGCGACUAGAGUGUGGUGGAGGGUAGCGGAAUUCCUGGUGUAGCAGUGAAAUGCGUAGAUAUCAGGAGGAACAUCCAUGGCGAAGGCAGCUACCUGGGCCAACACUGACACUGAGGCACGAAAGCGUGGGGAGCAAACAGGAUUAGAUACCCUGGUAGUCCACGCCCUAAACGAUGCGAACUGGAUGUUGGGUGCACUUUGGCACGCAGUAUCGAAGCUAACGCGUUAAGUUCGCCGCCUGGGGAGUACGGUCGCAAGACUGAAACUCAAAUGAAUUGACGG
rnacentral:rRNA from 1 species